GUGCCAGCCGCGCGGUAAUACGGCGGGCGCGAGCGUUGUUCGGAAUUAUUGGGCGUAAAGCGCACGUAGGCGGCUCGGUAAGUCUCACUGUGAAAGCCCGGGGCUCAACCCCGGGAGGCCAGGGGAUACUGUCGAGCUAGAGACAAGCAGAGAUUGGUAGAAUUCCGGGUGUAGCGGUGGAAUGCGUAGAGAUCCGGAGGAAUACCAGAGGCGAAGGCGGCCAACUGGGCUUGGUCUGACGCUGAGGUGCGAAAGCGUGGGGAGCGAACAGGAUUAGAUACCCGAGUAGUCC
rnacentral:rRNA from 1 species